CUCACAGUGCAGAAGGUUGGAAGGAGGAAGGCUCCAGCAACAGUCAGAGCAAAACAACUUCACAAAAGAGUGAACCACUCAAGCCAGCAUAAACUAAGAGCCACAGCCUAAUCCAAAAAAGCUACUGAAAAUCAACAGAAACUAUCACGGUGGCCAGAAGUUUCAUUUGCUGACAAAAUUACUACAGACAAGGUGAUCUGAUUCAUGCCUGCAGUUUUUGUGAGAAAAGAUCCUCCUAAGGAACUAGUGACUGACAAUGAGACACAGCUUACCUCAUUUGAAAUGGAGCAACAUUCACAUAACCAUGAGGUAAACCACAAGACUGUUUCCUUGUACCAUUCUCAAGGGAAUAGCUUUGUGGAAAGAACAAACAGAUUAGUGAAAGAAAGUUUACAACUGGCUACUACGCAACAACAACCCUGGAAAGAGGCAAUCCAUGAAAUUCUAUUUGCAUAUCAAACUACUCCUCAUUCUCCUACAAGAAAAUCACCUUUUGAACUGCUGAGAGGAUGCAAAGCUUACCCAAUGGCAACAACUGAUAAGACUUUCCAUGCCAUAUCACCCUGAGGAUGCAGAGAUUCAUGAUCAGGCAGAAGCUCCUAUGCCUCUCAUGAUUGCAUGGCAGAAUAAACUUCAACAGGUGCAACUUUUCCUAUGAUGGAGAUGCAUUUCAUUCAUCCCAGCCAUGCAGCUGCUAAAGAUAAAGGUGCUUGGACUCAGUGACCACAUUGUCUUAGCUAGACCUUGACUUGACUCUGAAUUUUCUUGGCUUUGUAGUGACUUCGAAUUGUCUUGUGUCUGAAGCUUGAUAAAAUUCUGAUUCCUUUUAUGUACUACCAUGCCCUGGAUGUAUUAAUUUGUAUAUAUUAUCUGAAUGUAUGUAUUAAUUAUAUCUUCUUUGUGAUAUGCAUCUACCCUCUCAAGGAUAUCUUCCAAAUUAACAAAAGUGAGGAUGGAUGGAGAGAGGCAAUACUAUAGCUCCAAAUGUUUUCUGGUUUUUUUGUCAUAGAGAGUAGGAGCAAAUAGUGUUGAAUUCCAAGCUUCCCUUCCUCCAGAGAAAUGAGUCUUUCCUCUGGAAGGAGCUCUUUCUGUUGGAAGAAGGGGAACUUUCCCACUGAAUUUGAUAUAUCUUCCCAUUAUGUCUUCUGCACACUCUUGAUUUGGUGUUCGCUAGGAAAGGAUGACUAGGGACUCUUUGCUACUAGAGGGUGGCUAGGGAAAGAGGGGUAGGUUUUGCCCCAUGGGAUAAAUAGCACCUCCAGGGAGUAAUCUGCAUCAGAAAAAUGGUUCAUGGGAAAGGAACCAUGCCUGCUCUCUGAAUGGUGAGGGCACAGCUGCAUUUGCCCUUCUAAAAAAUACAUGGAUGAUCUAAUCAUGUAUCUCUAUCAUAUCUAGUCUUUCUUUCAAUUUCUGCACAUCUAAAUUACUACCCAGUAGGAGUGUGCAUUCUUUUUUUGAAUAAAGCAUAGUGUAGUGGUUAGAGUGUUGGACUAGGACCAGGAAGACCCGAGUUCAAAUCCCCAUUCAACCAUGAAACUCACCAUGAAUGAAACCAUGAAACUCUGGGCCAGUCACAUAUCUUUCAGCCUAACCUACCUCACAGGGUUGUUGUGAGGAUAAAAAUAACCAUGUACAUCGCUCUGAGCUCCUCAGCGAAAGAGUGAGAUAUAAGUGUAAAAAUAAAUAAAUAUAAUAC